AGAGUUUGAUCCUGGCUCAGGAUGAACGCUGGCGGUAUGCGUAACACAUGCAAGUCGAACGAAGUUUUUCGGAACUUAGUGGCGGACGGGUGAGUAACGCGUGAGAAUCUGCCUUAAGGAUUGGGACAACAGUGGGAAACCGCUGCUAAUACCAAAUAUGCCUUUUAGUGAAACGGGUAAAACCGCCUUAAGAUGAGCUCGCGUCUGAUUAGCUAGUUGGUGUGGUAAGAGCGCACCAAGGCAACGAUCAGUAGCUGGUCUGAGAGGACGACCAGCCACACUGGGACUGAGACACGGCCCAGACUCCUACGGGAGGCAGCAGUGAGGAAUUUUCCGCAAUGGGCGAAAGCCUGACGGAGCAAUACCGCGUGAGGGAGGAAGGUUCUUGGAUUGUAAACCUCUUUUCUCAGAGAAGAAUAAUGACGGUAUCUGAGGAAUAAGCAUCGGCUAACUCCGUGCCAGCAGCCGCGGUAAUACGGAGGAUGCAAGCGUUAUCCGGAAUGAUUGGGCGUAAAGGGUCUGUAGGUGGUUGUUCAAGUCUGCUGUUAAAGCGUCUGGCUUAACCAGAUAAAGGCGGUGGAAACUGAACGACUAGAGUGCGGUAGGGGUAGAGGGAAUUCCCAGUGUAGCGGUGAAAUGCGUAGAUAUUGGGAAGAACACCUGUGGCGAAAGCGCUCUACUGGACCGCGACUGACACUGAUGGACGAAAGCUAGGGGAGCGAAUGGGAUUAGAUACCCCCGUAGUCC
rnacentral:rRNA from 1 species